UACAGAGGGUGCAAGCGUUAAUCGGAAUUACUGGGCGUAAAGCGCACGCAGGCGGUCAUGUAAGUCGGGAGUGAAAUCCCCGGGCUCAACCUGGGAACUGCAUUCGAGACUGCAUGGCUAGAGUACGGUAGAGGAGGGCGGAAUUCCCGGUGUAGAGGUGAAAUGCGUAGAUAUCGGGAGGAACAUCAGUGGCGAAGGCGGCCCUCUGGACCAGUACUGACGCUCAGGUGCGAAAGCGUGGGGAGCAAACAGG
rnacentral:rRNA from 1 species